UAUACUUUAUAUAUAUACAUAUAUAUACUAUAUAUACAUGUUUAUUUAUAUAUACAUAUAUAUACUUUAUAUAUAUACACAUAUAUAUACUUUAUAUAUAUACACAUAUAUACUUUAUAUGUUUCCUCUGCAUAUUUUCUGUUUUAAUUAUGUUGUCUUUUAAUUAACCAAACAAUUUAACUUUCACUGGGGAGCCCUAGAAACCUGUCUUCAAAAGAUAAUCUGAAAUGCAGAAAGAGAAACUUAAAGAUGUUUAUCACAGAAUUACUUACUGGGAAAUCCCUGGGAAAUGAUGUCACAUUCAUAUGAUUUAAUACUCUUGCAAACCUGCGGAUUAACUACUCACUUAUCAAAAGGAAGCCUCAGGGAACCAGCAUGGGCCUGAGCUGUGCCCUCUGCACAAAGAUCUUUGUCCCAGCUGGGUCUCCUUUCCCCGCUUCAGCGACAGAAAUGACUACAGAAGCUGGCCCAGGGUUUUCCUGGCUUUACUCCUGGGGAUGUGAGGCCUGAAAACGACACCCAUUUUUGAAUGUGCAAAGGUAUGAUUUAGUGAAGUCAUAUCUCUGGGACUUACUUUCCUUGGAACAUCUGGGCCUGUGCGCCCUUGUACUGUUCACUGUGAAAUUUUCCUGGAGGGUGCAUCGGUGACUGCAAAAGACGUUUCCCUCCAUUACAACCCUCCAAAAAGGAAGUAUUUCCCUAUUUUGUUGGUAGCAGGUGGUCAAAAAGAGGGAGGGGCUUACAUUACAAAGCACUAGUGUUAUUAGUUUAAUAAAAAAGAAAAUACUUAAAUUUUCUCACUAGGCUGGGUGGGAGGGGGAGGAGAAAAGAGGUAUCUGGGAGGAAGGAGCUCAGGGAUUUUUUAGGGGCCAUUCAGGGGCCUGGGCUGGCCAGGUGGGACAUGCAGGCUUUGUGACAUCUGUGACCGCAUGUAGGUCACUGAUCAAUGUGGCAAAGUUUCUUCAAACUAGGGAAAGCCACGGAGUCCCUGAUUGGAAGAGACAUGGGAUGCUCUCGAGUGGCUUGGGGGCGGGGAUUCAAGCGCUUGUCAGUUAUGAAGCUUUCCCUAUUACAAACAGGAACGAACAAACCAUAAACCAACCAACAAAUGAAAAAGGUACUUCUAUGUGUUUGCGAGGAAUCACACACGACCAAGAAGUCCAUCUUUGGGGGUUGAUGCAUGCUCCAGCCAAGGUAAAGCAACAGCUGCUAUUGAGGAUCCGUGGAUAAUUGUUAAUGGAUGGGGGCUUCCUGUGGCAGAGCUAGAGGCUGGGCUCGGGAUCUCUCCACCUCCCCUCACCUGCUUGCCCCAGCUUUGCUUCCUGGAAUCCUAACUGCUGUCAACCACUUUCCUCCCUGCCCUCCCCAGCCCAGCCUUCCAUUCCAGUCACGUUUUCCAGUCCUAGGAAUUCACUUUUCUGUCUUCUGGGCCAGGUCCCUCUGAUACCAAGGAACAAAUUGUAGUUGCUUUGCUCUGAGCUCACCUGCCUGAUCUGCCUCCCUGCCCCCACCGGCCUUGCUAUUCCUGUUUUUUUUCAAACCCAGCUCCUGCUCAGUCCCUACACCUGUGCUAGCAAGGGCUUACCUAGGUGAACCAGCAUCCUGCUCCCAGCUCCCUUCUCAUUAAAAGAAGGUGGGGAAGAAGACAGACUUGAUUCAGUAACUAUAAUUUAUAUAUCUAUAUUAUAAAUGAUCAUAACAUGCAGUAUUAUUAUAAAUUUCAAAAUAAAACCAGAUUUGAAGUUUUUCUGUGCAUUCAUAAACACAAUAAUAUUUUGGUAAGCAGUCUUCUGUAUAUCUUUAUCCCCUGCCCUCUUUGCCCUACUACCUCUCCACCCACAAAGACACUCAUGCCUUUCUGUAUCUCAAAUGGGAUUACACUCUCUACCAUGUUCUUUAAUUUUUUAAAUUUAGAAACUUCAAUUAUCUGUUCCUUAAUGUGUGUUUUCUUUUAUGUUCAACAACGUGCCUGGUUUUCUUUUCAUAUUAGUAAAUUUGGAAUCACAUCAGUAUUUUAUAAUUGCAUGGGAUGACACCUUAAUUUAUUUAAACACACUCCAUUUAUAGAUAUUUUAUUUACUUUCAAUUAAUUUUGUUAGCAGUACUCUAUUAUUUUACAUUUAUUACUAGUAAUUUAAUAAAAAUGUGAGGAACAAUAUUGAUUCUAUCAAAAUAUCUCCUUUACGUAAUUUUCUAAUAUGUAGAAAAUAGAAUCAGUGGGUUCAAAGAUAAGCACGUUUACUAGUUUGGCUUACAUGGCCAAGCUACUUUCAUAGAGAUCUCUUAUUUUAUUUUAUUUUUUAUAAACUAAACUUCAGUCGUGAGAAAAGUUGGUGUAGCAACGGAAGUUCUCUUGUGAUAUAUUCAGAGUGCCCCAGUUUAUUUAUUAUUUUCCUCUGGAAGAUAGACACACAGCUCCUUUUCAUGCAAUAUUCCUGAGGAAGUUAGAAACAUGCUCACCUGCAAGUUGUUCUACCUUUUGGGGGUGCUGUGUCUCAUCUGUGUCUGUCUUACAGUACAUGAUCCUUUACAUGUCUAAGGGUCUAUGGUUUUAUGAUGGCUGGAGAAAAAUACAGCAGCCAAAUAUACUGUUGCCUGCCUUACUUUUAAAUUUUAUUUUCUUAGGAUACUAAUUAGACUUUUACUUCGGUCAUAUGUAACUUAGGAAUGAUUAAUGUGUAUACAAUGUUAGUCCUCUUCAUCCCAUCAUUACGUUGUUAUUGGAUAUUAUUUCUUUAUGAAAAUGGCGAAAUGAACAUGAAGUGCAUUAUAUUCUUUCCUUUUGGCUCUAUUUACACUUCUACCUUACCUCCUAAUGUAGGUUUGUUUGUUUAUUUUUUUGAGGUGGAGCCUCGCUCUGUUGCCCAGGCUGGAGUGCAGUGGCACGAUCUUGGCUUACUGUGACCUCUGCCUCCCGGGUUCAAACUAUUCUCCUUCCUCAGCCUCCUGAGUAGCUGGUAUUACAGGUGGGUGCCACCACACCCGGAUAAUUUUUAUAUUUUUAGCAGAGACGGGGUUUCACCAUGUUGACCAGUCUAUUCUCGAACUCCUGACCUCAAGUGAUCUGCCCGUCUCGGCCUCCCAAACUGUUGAGAUUACAGGCGUGAGCCACUGCGCCCAGCCUAAUAUAAGGUUUUUACAACAGAAAUACCUGCUGAACUUUUAACAGUAGACAUAUACUUUGAUGUAUGUGACUGUAAGCAUAAAUAUAUGUGACGUGUGUGUGUGUGUGUGUGUCUGCCCACUGCAUCUUACCAGCAGCUUGCAUAAUGAAAAUGCAGAGGCAUUUUGCUAAACAUUGGUUCAGUGGUGUUCUUCCUUUUUCUUCUUCUUUUUUUUUUUUUUUGACUUUUAUUUUAGGUUUCAGGGGUACAUGUGAAGGUUUGUUACAUAGGUGAACUCGUGUCACGAGGGUUUGUUGUACAGAUUAUUUCAUCACCCAAGUAUUAAUCCCAGUACCCAAUAGUUAUUUUUCCCUCCUGCCACCCUCCACCCCAAGUAGACCCAGUGUCUGUCAUUCCCUUCUUUGUGUUUGUGAGUUCUCAUCAGUAAGAAUGGCUACUAUGAAAACAAAAACAAAAAAACAAAAACAGUGGUGUUCUUUCUACUGAUUAUUGCAGUUUCACUCAAGCAGCCUCUCGCAUGAACUUACAUAUUCCAUCCUACUCAAUUUUUCAGCUUCUGUGCAUAGCGGGCAUCUCACUUUGUCAUGUCUAAAACAGAACUCAUUUCUCCCACUCUCUCCCACAGCCACUCUUCCUACAGACUCUCCCACUUC
rnacentral:lncRNA from 1 species